rnacentral:rRNA from 1 species
CGCAUCUGUGCAUGCAGCAUAUCAAUAAGCGGAGGAAAAGAAACUAACAGGGAUUCCCCUAGUAACGGCGAGUGAAGCGGGAAGAGCUCAAAUUUGAAAUCUUAAAGGGUUUCCCUUUACGAACUGUAGUUUAAAGAAGUGUUUUCUGUUGAGGUUUUGGUAAAAGUUCUUUGGAAUAGGACAUCAUAGAGGGUGAGAAUCCCGUAUUUGACCUUUACUUUCAACUUUGUGAUACACUUUCAAAGAGUCGGAUUGUUUGGGAAUGCAGUCCAAAAUGGGUGGUAAAUUUCAUCUAAAGCUAAAUAUUGGCGAGAGACCGAUAGCGAACAAGUACCGUGAGGGAAAGAUGAAAAGAACUUUGAAAAGAGAGUUAAACAGUACGUGAAAUUGUCAAAAGGGAAGCGUUUGACACCAGUGUUGUUUUUCUGAAAAUCAAUUAAAGAACUGUUUAUGCUAAGUUGUUUAGACUUUAUCAGCUAUCUGUUUAGUUUUAGGCUUUUCUUUAAUGCACUCUUCAGUUAACAAGUCAACAUCAAUUUCUUUUGCUGUAAAAAAGCUUGAGGAAGGUGGCUUGAGAUUCGUCUUAAGUGUUUAUAGCCUCUUGCCUAUGCAGUCGGAGAGAUUGAGGUCUGCAGCGUAGAUCCUUCGGGGCUAAAUGCAUUUGUGCUAAGUUAUAGCAUUUUAUAGACAACUUGUUGACUAUGAUUUGUCUUGUAGCUUACUCGCUUAUGUUAUUUUACCUACGCUUAGGAUGUUGACGAGACUGUCGAUCUCAUCUAUACAUGACUCUGCGCAUAUCAAUAAGCGGAGGAAAAGGCUGCUGAACUGAACGACCGCUACCUACGCUUAGGAUGUUGAACGCGCACAGAGUCUC